UUUGGGAACACACAGUGAGCGGAGCGUCCGCAGUCGCAGUAGCACUCGAAGUCCGCUUAUCCGCAUCCGCAGCCGCAUCCGCAGCGUUUUCGAAUUUUUCCGACCUUCCAUUCGAUCCGAUCCAUCUGGCACAUCCUAACCAUCUAAUCGUAACCCCAUCAUCGUGAUCGCGCCCGUAAUCGCUCCGUUUUGCCGCACUCGAUGUUCCGGUUUUGUGUGCAAUCGUGUCCAAAGGAGAUCGAAACAAUAAUCUCGGCGGAUAGGAAGUUUGAAACACGAAAGUUCUUUUCGAAAUCCAAGAGAGUCGUAACAAUUUAAAAAGGCCGCUAAAAUCGUUACGAUACGAGCAAUUCAAAGAUCUGAAAAUAUAUAAAAAUAUAAAUAUGGUUUGUGCUGUGUUUUAAAAGGGAAUAUCAGAAAAAUAUUAUGAAUAUGUUGAAUUGUUGUUGCCGUAAGUUCUAAAGUGUGCAAAGUGCAACUCUCUGAAAAUCAACGAAGAAUACAACGCGUCCAAAAAAAGAAUCGUAAAAUUGUAAAAAGCAAACAAACAUAAAAACAAGCUCGUCAACUAUGUUAGCCAACCAAAAUUUGUCCGCAUAAAAAAGCUGAGAUUGCUUCAUUUUUCGCCCCCCAACUUAACAGCGGGAAUUUCUGACAUGACAAGAAAGUCAUUGGCGUUGAUAAGAUGCAUUAUCAGCGGGGAAGACGAAGAUGAAGAUCCGCAACAGCAACAGCCACAGCAGCAAUUGAAAAGUGUACGAUAUGAUAACCUAAUUUCCUGCCAGGAAAGAGGCGAAACGAUUUUAAAGCAAAUUUAAACGGGCUCAGAGAGAGACUUUUAAACAAAGCAAAGUCAGUGAAAAGAAAAAAAAAAACGCAAUCGAAACGAAAGUAAAAGAUUUCUGAAAACGGGGCGUACAUAUGUUUCAACGACACCCGAGGGCGUGGCGAACGCCCAGUAAACUGGCAAAAAAUCUAUAAACAACUUCGAGACAAGCGAUUUAUACAAAAAUUAUAAACAUUCGGAUUCAGAUUCCGAACAACGGCUUGAGAAACUCCUGUGAACCAAAGUGGUGAUCUUUGAUGCGAAGAAACCUGCGCUUGGACUGGAGGGCCCUGGCGCUGCUGGGCGCCCUCCUCUCGUUUAUCAUUGCCUGGCGUGGCCUUGCAUCUGCGAUGCCCCUCAUGGCCAUGGACAACAACCUGACAGACUCAUCCGGAUCCACAUACAAAUCCACAUCCACAUCAAAAUCCCACAGCACGAACAAUAGCAAUCUGCUUAGUAAUAGUUAUCUACAAAGUGAUCAUAGUCGUAGUAGUUUAGUGCCGAGCGCAGUGAGUGAACGUAGUGUAAAUCAAUCCACAAAUCAAAGUAUUAAUGCUGAAUUUAAUCAGAGCUUAAGCACGCAUCCAACUGCCAUAACAAGCACACCGCAAACCCAAACUCAAACCCAAACCCAAGUCCAAUCCCAAUACCCAUCCCAGGAGGAGGACUUCGAUCAGAUGGAGGAGCCGCUGGGAUUCGUCAUCUCAGCGAUGCCGAACGAGCAUCUGGCGGUCCUGUCGCGUACCGAACGCAGCAUUCGUCACCGGAAUCAGCAGCAGCAGAAGAAGCACCAUCAUCAUCACCAGCAGCCCGCUGACAAUAAUUUCAUUGGUUCGAAAUCGAAAAGACUGAGCAACCCUAGAAGUAGUCUUAACAUAAAUAGCAGUAGCAGUAAGACACCCAUCAGCAAUCUGGACCGUAACGAACGCUCCACAGUGCCACAGUCCCAUUUGGCCUGGACCUCCCGCAAGAUCCAGCUGUAUAUUAAAAAUCGCAUCCUUCAGAUAUUGCGGGAUGGCGUUGUCAACGGAACCCAGGACGAGAAUAGUGAAUUCACGAUUCUCCAGCGAUCCACGGUGGAUGUGGGACGCAUCAAGCUGCAGAGUGUGGCCACUUGCCUGUAUCUCUGCAUGGACGCGUGCGGUGUUCCCUACGGCUCGAAAGACUUCACCGACGACUGCGUCUUCAACGAGAACAUGGGUCUUCAGAACUACAACACGUACUCCUCGACGUACCACUCUCAGGCGCGGCGGGUCUUCUACCUGGCUCUGAAUGGCAGUGGUCAGCCCCGCCGCACCCAGAUCCCGGCCAGCCGAUCGCUGGGCAAGCUGAGCACCUACACGAACGCCAUAACGGAGACGGUGCCGCAGGAGCGGGUGGAGCAGCUGAUCGCCAAGAAUUUUGGGGCCAAUCGCGUUAGGCACGGCGUGCGGCAACUCUGUGAUACGGGCAAGCCGCUGAUCGAGCUGAUCGAUGUGGCCAGAUUCAAGGGGCCGCCACAUUGCAGCAGCAACACAAGUGGCAGCAGCAGCAGUAGGAGCAGUAGUAAAAGUAGUAGCAAUAGCAGUAGCAGUUACGUUCCUGAGCCUGCGAUCAGCAGCCUGAGUAGUAUUAGUAACAGUAGUCAAAGCGAGAGCGGCCAUAUUAGCAGUAGCCUUAGUGGUAGCAGUAACAGUAAAAGUAACAGUAAUAGUAGUAGCAAUAGCAGUAGCAGUAACAGUAGUAGUAACAGUAACGGUAGCAAUAGUAGUAGACCAAGUGGAAGCAAGACCAACAAGAAGAAGAAGCCCAAGUGCAAGCCGCACGAGCAGGAGGACACUCAUAAUUGCCAAAAGCGCGGUGGAGCCGGAGCGGGAGCACUGCGAAAACUGGGGCCCAAGGCGAAGAGGUGCAAGGAGCUGCGCGAGAAGGCUGCCGCCGAGAAGCGAGCUCCGCCCAAUUGUGGCAAGAAGAAUGGGGCCAGGAAGAAUCCCGCAGAGGCAGCCAAAGCAGUGCAACAGGGACCCAAGGGAAACAUCCAGCACGUAGGCAAAAAGAAGCCAAACAAGGCGGCUAAACAGCGCCCAAAUGGCGGCAAAAAGCAGCAGCAACAGCAGCAGUUGCAGCAACAGCAACAGCCGCAGCAACAUCUGGCCAAAUCCAUUUCCGGUGGCAAGCGGAAGCACCGGAAAUUGGAUGCAAGCACCACCACCACUAUGGCCACCAGCCUGGCCUCGCCGCCAAGUAGCCACUGGGAGAGUAGCUCGCCCUUGCCCGCAUUUUCCCUCAGCGAAACCAGCGAUAGGGUGGAGCGCAACGUGCGCAUGAGCAGCGGUGAGGAGCAGGAGCAAGAUAACGACCAGGAUCAGGAUCAGGAGCAGGCUGAUCCGGCUGAUCCGGCGGAGCAGGGCGAGGAGGAGGCCGAGGGCGACGGGGGAUCCCUGGAGGAUGCCAGCUACGAGGACGCAAGUUCCGAGGCCCAAGGACGCAGCGGAGCAGCUGGCGAUGAUUCGCUCUACUACGAUUUCGGACUGUUGUCCCCCCGGCGAUGAUCCAAAAUGCAACCAAGAUCCCACUAAAGACGAUGAAUAUCAAUGUAUUACGACGGAGUCUCGAGUAUUUUAUAAGAACCUCUCUACCACCCAUUUGGAGUAUAAUUAUCAUGGAAAUGUAUUAUAAACGCUCGCCCAUCCAAUCAGAUAGAUGUAAAUCGAAGCCCUAACCUUACGCAACACGAACGACCCAAAAGAGUCUAUUGAAAUACUUGAGUCUCUGUGGCGGAACUUUCACGAUCGGUUGACGAUGAAAAUACUCAGAAAUACGACCACUCCGUUAAGUCUACCAGAAACAAAACUUGAAAACUUGCAAAACGCUUUCCGCAUACUGUAACCGAGUAAUGCGGUCAGAUAAUUCGAAUAUGUAAGAGGAAAUACAAUUGUAAAUAGAUACGCGGCUUAGUGAAGUAAGAUCCAUUUUUUGUCUGUACUGUCGAACCUCGCGUAGCCUUAGCCCUGUAAAUCAAUUUUGAAUGCAAUUUUUCCCACUCAAGGUAAAAAUCCCAAUGCAAAAGAAUGAAGCAAACGAAGCAUCGAAAACUAUUAUGAAAUAAAUUAACGAAAUGUAGAAAGGCAAAACUCACAAAUCACAAGAUUGUAUUUUCAUUUACAAUACAUACGAAACUAACAUUAAUAUUAAUUUAUUUGAUCAACGAGAUAAAAGCGUGAAAUUAUAGUUGUAGCUGUAUGAUGGAUUUAUUUAUUUAUUUAAAAAUAUUUAUUUAUAAACUACUAGGCCUAGACUAACAAACUUUGUUAUAACUUAAUGCAUUAAACCAACAUUUUCCAGAUAAGUCAGUAAACGAUCAACGAAAAGAGCAUGAGAAAAACGCGAAAAAACUAAACUAAAAAAUAAAGUAUAAAAAUACAUUAAUAUCAAAUGCGAGUGUGUUUUUGUCGAUAUGCCUGUGCCUGCAGCUAAUCGUCCUGGUUUUGCUCCGAAAAAGAGCCAUCCUGUGAGUGGAGAUCCUUCGUUGUAUCGUCGAAACUCAAUGGACCAACGAUCCACACAACAAAGCUAAAGUUCCUGAUCUUUAAGCAUAAGAGUUAUACAUUUAAAACUACACGUAGCAUUUAGUAUUUUCGUAUUUAUCGUUUAAGACUGAUAAGAGAACAC